UCUCCUUCAAUUCAAUCCUUUGAUUAUAUAUGGAAACUCUCAUCAAUUCUCAAUCAGUUGAAAUCUUCUCCAAUACGUGUCUCUUCAUUCAAUCCUUAAAACCCUAAUUUCAAUUUCAGAUGGUUUGCCUGUUCCAUCGCUCCAUCUCUGUACAUUAUGUUUUAUAUUCAUUUUGUGUUUUACAUCCUUCCAAUUUCGAGCACAAAUGAAAAUCCUAAAUCGGCAUCAAUGGCGUUAAACACCGGAUUUAGAUCAUUAUCUUCCAAAUUGAUUGCUUCUGUCUAUUCUUCUCUCGCUAAAUCUGGUUAUAUGAUUAGUAUUCGCGACAGUGGCUAUGGAGCUUUGAGAUGUUAGGGUUUGUUUAAUCAACGAAUCAAAUGGAGAUUGAGCCGAUAAUUCCGGCGAAUUAGCGGGCAACAUUAGUAAUAUGGUUCUAAAUGUUCAUACGUAUUUUCUCCGCUGAUUUUGCGAAAGAUCAUCAGAUUCAAUAAGAUUAUUAGGUUUUUGUGAGAUUACGAUUGAGGAUUGUGUUUGGAUUGGAAUCGGGAUUGAUUCAUAGAGAAAUCGAUGAGAGAUUGAGGAAAACGAUGCCGGAAUUAGCGGUUGAUUGUCGAACGACGUCGUAUGGAGCAGUUUCUUUGAGUGGAUUUUGGUCAAAACAUUGUGGUGAUGUUAGUUAUAAUCAGCUUCAUAAAGUAGCUUAAUUAGAUUUGUUUUUUGUGUUUUAGUUGUUUGAUUGUUUAGUUGAUGGUUUUAUGAUGUUAGGGUUUGUAAUUGUGUCCAACAAGUUGUUUCACUCAUUCUCUCAUCCAGCCUUCUCUGUGGACUGUUUCGACGAUGGCGGUGUAGGUUUGGAUGCAACUGUUUCGAUGAUGGCGGUGUAGGUUUGGAUGCGGUGAAAACGAGUGGAGACGGUUGUUUGACCCGCCGAUAAGGUUUUCGACCACAACCCUCAACGCCGUUAAGGUUUCCGACCUCAACCGCCGCGCUUCAGGUCAUCCACGUCUAUAUUUCUUCUCUAUUAUUCUGGUUCGUGCUUUUUUGUGUAUGAUUAAGCUUUGAUGAACCAGUUUCUGUUUCUAUAAUCCUAUCAUAUGCGUAUGGCUUUCUAUUUAUUAAAAAAAAGAGUUGAGGUUGCUUGCUUUAAAUGGCUGAGGUCAGUUUUGAUUAGCGUCCCUUCGGGGACAUCCGAUAAAACUAGGAUUAUGAUUUAUGGGUAGAAAUAUUGGCUGCUUUAGUUCAAUUUCUUAUGUUCUUCAUGCUUCAUGAAAUCCUUGAAUGUGGAUUUUAUGAUUGACAGUCAUAAGUCAAUAAUUGGAUCUGGGAAGAACUGAAGCAUGCUUCUGCUUUCAACUGCUGUGUUUUUAAAGAACUUAGAAUUUUUUGAUAGGUUGCAACAAUUAUUUAACAUUAAUUUGUUCACCUAACUUCGUAAGGUUUAAAGAAUUUUGUAUUGGUCUCAGUAAUUUCAAAUGAUUUGAUUUGUAUGCUACUUUUCAUUUUUUUUUUUUUUUGUAUUAUAGCUCUUUUUUUAUUAGUGUCGAAAGCGUCAAUCUUAACUGGAACAAAAUUAAAAUCAUGUAAUCCGUUUAAAAAAACGACUUUAUGGGUGUAAAUGGGUUGGCGGGUUAUUAAUGAGUUAAAAGGGUUGGCAUUUUAAGUCAAACACACACGACUUGUGUGAAAAAGUUACACCUCAAUGUGAUAGUGAUUCUUUCUUAUCCUUACCAAACAUGCCUAACCUGCCCAUUUUCCCAUCUUUGUUAUAUAUAAAUAAUAUCUAAGACGAAUAUUGUCAGUGACGUCUCCGGAGAUGGUGGCCAGGGCUCCGAUGGUGAUUCUAGUAAUUACAGAAGGGCCCUCCGACGAUGUAUGAUUUCCGAAUCCACAUGGGGCUAAUUGGUUUGCUACAUACGCUUACAAUACGAAGGUACAUGUUUCGGCCCAUGUUGCUUACUUGUGCUAAUUGGUUUAACUCGAAGAUGGUAUGAGUUGAGUCACUGGGUAACACGUGUUGGAGUGGAAGAUGACUAAGGUUGGUUCCACGGACCCCAUUUUGUUAGUAAUGUCUCUGGUACUCCGAGUCAGGUUAGACGUCUAACAACACCAUUUGUUCUAUGUAUUUUGUUAAUCCAGUAUCAAUUUUAUUAAGUAUGACCUUGAUGUCCUUGACACCCAAAGAUGUCCUUGACACCCAAAGAUGACUCAUCAAAUCCUUAAUCAGGAAUGAAUUUUUCGGAAGAAGUUGUUCUGAUUGUUAUUGUGGACAGUUAGCUCAGAUUCGUUUAUUUAGGUGAUUUUAAUAUCUCUUUAUAAUUCGAUAACUGAUAUGAGAAGACAAAAAGAACCCUGGUGAAUCACGGUUCGUUGCUCAGGUGCGAUUUGGCUUUUUGUUUAUGAUUAUAACAAAGGAAACUUGACAGUUUCUCCUUCUGUUAUGGUUAUUAUAUCUCAUAAUGUACUUUAUUAGUUUGAUUUUGAAGUCCUGUGUAAGCUUAUGUUUUGAUGAGAUUCUGGUGACUCGGUUUCAGACUGCGUGUCAUAGAUUGGUGUACAUAAGUUAGGUACACAACUGUGGAGAUAAUAACGGGUCAUUAUGGUGGUUGUGGUGAGGUUUCUCGGUGGUUAAGGCGGACUGCAUGCAGCUAUUUAAGGCUCUUAAACAAAGUUAGAUUAUGCUCUGUUUAUUUUCCAUCAAGUUCUUAAACGAAGUCAUGGAAAUAUAGGGAAAUUGCUAGGAUAUUGUACUUUCGACCCAUUUAGUUAUGUUUGAGUUGAUUUAGGUUAUGUUUUAUCCCAAACGAACGGGUCAACUAAAACAGUUUGGCUAAAUAGGGAACUGGUCACACAGAUUUAAAGUCACCCUGAUUGUAAAGUUUUAUUCAACAUGCACCUACUUAGAUCGUUAUCAUGAAAGUUUUAGAUUAUUCCUUUAAUACUAUAGUUUCUUUAAUCAUAUUUUACACAUUAAGUUUUAUAUAAUUGUUUAAAGAAAAUGUGUGAAAAGUUUGUUCGUGAGUCGGGUCGAUCCGUAACAGUUUUGACCCAUUAUCUACCGUCAUCAAUCAGUUCAUUUUGUUAACUUGAAUAAUCUAUAGAACCUGGUUUAGACCUCAACAUGACUGGCCUGUACUCCACCGUUUUGACCCGUUAUAAAAUGGUUUAUUGCAGAGCGCUGUUUCCAGGCUUAAUAAAGGGCUUGCUGCUAGCGAAAAAGAUUUGCAGAAGGCAUAUUCUACAGCCAGGGAAGUGUUAUAAAUGGGUCAGGUCAUUCGAUUGAUUCAUUAACUAGGUCGGUUUAGUUUAUCUUCGUGUAAGGUCCGAGUUUAUACGGUGGAGGGUGAUUGGGAUUACCGUUUUGGGGUGAAUGUGUUUGAGGAUAAUGUCUAUACCGUAACGAGGUUGCGUGUGUUCGGGUAUAUCAAGUGUGCAAUAACUUAACAGUUACGUAAAGCACUUCGAUUUGUGUGGGGCAUAUAUUUGUUUCGGCUAUAAUAUUUCUUUCAUAAGGCUUCCAUUAGAUUUCUUUCA